rnacentral:rRNA from 1 species
AUUGAACGCUGGCGGCAGGCCUAACACAUGCAAGUCGAGCGAGCGGCGGACGGGUGAGGACUAGCUGGGAAACUGCCUGAGGGAGGGGGAUAACUACUGGAAACGGUAGCUAAUACCACAUACCAUCAGAUGUGCCCAGAUUGGGUUAGAUAGUAGGGGGGGUAACGGCUUACCAAGGCGACGAUACCUAGCUGGUCUGAGGGGCUGACCAGCCACACUUGAACUGAGACCCGGUCCAGAAUCCUACGGGAGGCAGCAGUGGGGAAGAUUGCACAAUGGGCGAAAGCCUGAUGCAGCCAUGCCGCGUGUGUGAAGAAGGCCUUCGGGUUGUAAAGCACUUUCAGCGGGGAGGCGUUACCAGCAGAAGAAGCACCGGCUAACUCCGUGCCAGCAGCCGCGGUAAUAC